rnacentral:rRNA from 1 species
UGCAGUCGAGCGGACAGAAGGGAGCUUGCUCCCGGAUGUUAGCGGCGGACGGGUGAGUAACACGUGGGUAACCUGCCUGUAAGACUGGGAUAACUCCGGGAAACCGGAGCUAAUACCGGAUAGUUCCUUGAACCGCAUGGUUCAAGGAUGAAAGACGGUUUCGGCUGUCACUUACAGAUGGACCCGCGGCGCAUUAGCUAGUUGGUGGGGUAAUGGCUCACCAAGGCGACGAUGCGUAGCCGACCUGAGAGGGUGAUCGGCCACACUGGGACUGAGACACGGCCCAGACUCCUACGGGAGGCAGCAGUAGGGAAUCUUCCGCAAUGGACGAAAGUCUGACGGAGCAACGCCGCGUGAGUGAUGAAGGUUUUCGGAUCGUAAAGCUCUGUUGUUAGGGAAGAACAAGUGCGAGAGUAACUGCUCGCACCUUGACGGUACCUAACCAGAAAGCCACGGCUAACUACGUGCCAGCAGCCGCGGUAAUACGUAGGUGGCAAGCGUUGUCCGGAAUUAUUGGGCGUAAAGGGCUCGCAGGCGGUUUCUUAAGUCUGAUGUGAAAGCCCCCGGCUCAACCGGGGAGGGUCAUUGGAAACUGGGAAACUUGAGUGCAGAAGAGGAGAGUGGAAUUCCACGUGUAGCGGUGAAAUGCGUAGAGAUGUGGAGGAACACCAGUGGCGAAGGCGACUCUCUGGUCUGUAACUGACGCUUAAAGGAAGCGAAAAGCGUGGGGGAGCGAACAGGAUUAGAUACCCUGGUAGUCCACGCCGUAAACGAUGAGUGCUAAGUGUUUAGGGGGGUUUCCGCCCCUUAGUGCUGCAGCUAACGCAUUAAGCACUCCGCCUGGGGGAGUACGGUCGCAAGACUGAAACUCAAAGGAAUUGACGGGGGCCCGCACAAGCGGUGGAAGCAUGUGGUUUAAUUCGAAGCAACGCGAAGAACCUUACCAGGGUCUUGACAUCCUCUGACAACCCCUAGAAGAUAGGGGCUUUUCCCUUUCGGGGGACAGAAGUGGACAGGGUGGGUGCAAGGGUUGUCGUUCAGCCUCGUGGUCGUGAGAAUGUUUGGGGUUAAAUUCCCCGCAAACGAAGGGGCAACCCCUUGGAUCUUUAAUUUGCCCGCAAUUUCAGUUUGGGGCACUCCUU